UACGGAGGGUGCAAGCGUUGUCCGGAAUCACUGGGCGUAAAGGGCGCGUAGGCGGCUCAUGAAGGCUGUGGUGAAAGUCCGGGGCUCAACCUCGGAUCGGCCGUGGCGACUCGUGGGCUGGAGCACUGUAGAGGCGGGUGGAAUUCCGGGUGUAGCGGUGGAAUGCGUAGAGAUCCGGAAGAACGCCAGUGGCGAAGGCGGCCCGCUGGGCAGUGGCUGACGCUGAGGCGCGACAGCGUGGGGAGCAAACAGGG
rnacentral:rRNA from 1 species